GACGAACGCUGGCGGCGUGCCUAAUACAUGCAAGUCGAGCGGACUUGAAGGAGUGCUUGCACUCCUGAGAGUUAGCGGCGGACGGGUGAGUAACACGUAGGCAACCUGCCCUCAAGACUGGGAUAACUACCGGAAACGGUAGCUAAUACCGGAUAAUUUAUUACAUAGCAUUAUGUGAUAAUUAAAGACGGAGCAAUCUGUCACUUGGGGAUGGGCCUGCGGCGCAUUAGCUAGUUGGUGGGGUAACGGCCCACCAAGGCGACGAUGCGUAGCCGACCUGAGAGGGUGAACGGCCACACUGGGACUGAGACACGGCCCAGACUCCUACGGGAGGCAGCAGUAGGGAAUCUUGCGCAAUGGGCGAAGGCCUGACGGAGCAACGCCGCGUGAGUGAUGAAGGUUUUCGGAUCGUAAAGCUCUUUUGACAAGGAAGAACGUCUCAUAGAGUAAAUGCUAUGAGAGUGACGGUACUUGAGAAGAAAGCCCCGGCUAACUACGUG
rnacentral:rRNA from 1 species